AUUGAACGCUAGCGGGAUGCUUUACACAUGCAAGUCGAACGAGUGGCGGACGGGUGAGUAAUAUAUCGGAACGUGCCCAGUAGCGGGGGAUAACUACUCGAAAGAGUGGCUAAUACCGCAUACUAUUAGAGCGGCCGAUAUGGGAUUAGCUAGUGGGUGGGGUAAGGGCUCACCAAGGCAACGAUCCGUAGCUGGUUUGAGAGGACGACCAGCCACACUGGGACUGAGACACGGCCCAGACUCCUACGGGAGGCAGCAGUGGGGAAUUUUGGACAAUGGGGGAAAGCCUGAUCCAGCCAUCCCGCGUGUAUGAGAAGGCCUUCGGGUUGUAAAGUACUUUCAGCAGGGAAGCGGUAUCUGCAGAAUAAGCACCGGCUAACUACGUGCCAGCAGCCGCGGUAAUAC
rnacentral:rRNA from 1 species